rnacentral:lncRNA from 1 species
CACACAUAUAUAUAUCUGUAUAUAUAUAUAUAUAUGUGUGUGUGUGUGUGUGAGAGUGUGUGUGUAAUGGUUGUCUGCAAGAAACACCUUUAAUUAAUCACAGCCAACCCUCAAAUAAUACGCAUAGUAUAGGACCCUUACAAUGCUACACUCCCAACUCUUCUCCCCACCCACCUUUUGUUUUCUUUCCUUCCACGGAUUCUGUGACAUCUUCCUCUCCUCAUUGACUCUGCAUGAAGGGGAUUCCUGGUGGGGGAAGGGUAGCUGGUGAGAAAUGAGGUAUCAAGAAACUAGCAAAGCAUCUUCUGGCUGUCUGUGGACAGUUCUUGUGUGGUCCCCAGCCUAGUCUCAAGGGUUCUGGGCUGGUCACCCUGCAGCCUCUGUGCUGUGUCACCAGAUUCGGGCUCUGAGGGAAGGGCCCUGGGAGGCCCAACAGAGCGGGGUGCCUUGUCUAACAUCCCCCCGUUCCUCUGGCUGUGUGGCUCAGGAAUAGGCCCAGACAGUGUGUCCAGGUGGUGCCAGGUCACCUCACUGCCCCCUUUGAGAUGGGCCCAGAGGGUUUUGUGGGGUGAGCAUGAAGCUGGGCACCCAAAGCCUGGGGCCGAGUGCCCCUCCCUGUGUCCCAGAGGAGGGGCCCUGACCUGAGAAGAUCCCCAGUGCCUGGCUUAUGGGUGCCAAUGUGGGGAGGGGUGGCUCUGAGGACUGAAGCGGGUCACUGAAAGAAGACAUUGAGCUCCAUGGCUCAGGGACCUUGGCAGUAGAGGCCUGGUAAGCAGAGACUAGGACACUGGGACUUGGUCACAAAAAAUAUGAUCAGAAAGGGCAUGGCCAUCAGAGAGUUGGUCAGGCGGCCUGGUCAUUGAGGGACUGUCAGUGAGGACCUGGUCACUGGGUGCUUGGUCAAUGGGUCUUGGUCAGUGGGGACCUGGUAAGUGGAGAUCUGAUUACUGGGGGCUUGGUCAUCAAGAGCCUGGUCAGUCAGGACCUGGUCAGUGAGGACCUGGUCAGUGAAGGACUUGUGGGGGGGCAUUGGUCAGCAGCGGCCUUGUCGGGGGAGGCUUGGUCAGUGGGGGCCUAGUUAGUGGGGUCCUGGCCAGCCGGCUGCUGGGUGACCUCAUGCAGGGGUUUGUCCUUGGAGCUUGCUUGCCGCCAUCUGUAGUGGGGAUGAGUCACAUCACCCCAGAGGGCUACUGGGAGGAGGAGAUGAGCAGGUGUGUGGAAUCCGGCCCUGCCCAACAGACCUAGCACUUUACACCCUAGCUGAGUCCCCUGCUAAAGAGGGGGCCUGCUCUCUGCCCUCCACCCUCAAUUCUCUGCUCCCCGUCCACAGGACUGCCCCACCUAGGGAGGGCUGAGGUUGGGGAACACCUGUGGACACUCUGAUGCUGGCCACAGGCCCAGGGCCGGGCGUGACAGUGACAAGGACCUGAGUGCGUACAUGAAUGGGGCCACCUGGCCCAGCCACAGAAGCAACACACCAUAUGCACGUGUUCACCCACAUAUAUGUGCACGCUCACAUUUACAAACACACUGCAUGCACACAUGUUGAUGCUUCGGGGGUGGAGGACGGUGACUGUGGGCCCUGCUGACCCAGGCGGGGGCCCAUUGUGAUGGGUGCCGUGAUCCCGUAAUGUCACUGGUGCUGAGUACCCACCCGCCUACCUGGCUGCCUUCUCUGUGUCUGGAGCUCUUAGAGACAAGAUAAACAGCGAUGUCUGGUUCUGCUCAGAGGAGGCUUUCUUAAGUGAGAGGCACAGUUGGAUCAGCAGACUCAGCUGAGUGUGACCUGCUCUGUUCCCUCCCUGCUGACCUGGGACAGUCGCUACCAGGCAGUGCUGGCCUCUGGGCGGGUGCCGAGGAGGGUCAUCCCUGAGCACUCACCAGGUAGGUGCCUGUUCUGCACUGACGGUAUAGAUGUUCGUCUUGUUGGUCGUCACAGUGACGCUGGUGGGGGUGGGUGCUGUCCCCUAAUGUACCCAUUCCACAGGUGAGAUGUCUAGGGUCAGAGAGGCAGCGACUGGUCCAGAGACCCAGAUGUGACCCUGGGCCAUGCUCUUAGCCCUGCCCUGUGCUACGCUGGACUCAAGCCCUGACCUCUGUGGCCUCCCUGCCCUGGAUUCCAAAUCCAUCCGGGGUUCCAGCCCCUGAUGGGGCAGAGUCUGGCCCUGGAAGAGCCACUGGGACAGAGAUCCUAUGGGUGAGGUGGAGGGGGUGGUCCUCAGUCCAAGUCUGUGCCCUAAGCUGGGACCCCGCGGGAGGUCUCACCAACUCAGACUUCACAUGUGGUCACUGAGGGUCAUUGUGGGACCCACUGGACACAGGGGGUCCCUUGUCUGGGAGUGGGGUGAAGAGCCUUCUGCCCUUGGGCAGUUAGGUAGGGGACUUUGAGCACUGCUGCUUUGGGACCUGGGAAGUGGGGACCUGGGCAGCGGGGUCCUCGUCAUUGAGAACAUGGUCAGUGAGAGAUUUGGUCAUCAUGGGUUGGGUCAGGGGGGCCUGGUCAGCAGAGACUUGGACACUGGGGCUUAGUGAAAAUAUGAUCAGUGGGGAAAUAGUCACGGGGCCUGCUCAGUAGGGCCUGGCUAGCAGAGGCCUGGCCAGCUGGCCACUGGAUGACCUGACAGGGGGUUUGUCCUUGGAGCCUCUUUGCCUCUAUUCAUAGUGGGGAUGAGUCAUAGCAUCCCUCAGCACUCGCCAGGUGCAGGUUUUGUGCUGACCUUGUAGAUGGCCUUUUCCUUCAUCCCCACAGCAACUCCAUGGGGCGGAUCCUGUCCCCGAAUGUAGCCAUUCCACAGGUGAGAUGUCUAGAGUCAGAGAGGUGAUGACUGGCCCAGAGACCCAGAUGUGGCCUGGGCCGUGCACUCAGCCCUGCCCUGUGCAGUGCUAGACUCAAGCCCUGACCUUUGCAGCCUCCCUGCCUUAGAUCCCACAUUUCCCUGGGGUUCUGGACCCUGAUGGGGUGGAGGGGGUGAUUCUCAGUCCAAGUCUGUGCCCAAAGCUUGGUCCCCACAGGAGGAGGUCUCAUCAACUCAGACUUCAGGUGCGGUCACUGAUGGUUGCUGUGGGACCCACUGGACACAUGGAGUCCUUCGUCUGGGAGUGGGGUGGGGAGGCCUCUGCCCUCGGGCAGUUGUGGAAAAUGAAGGAGCUCUAGAGGGCUGCCUGGAGGGUGAUGAUCGUCCCUCUUGGUCAAAGGGGCUUGGGGACUGGAACCUUCUCUGUCUGAUUCUCUAGAGGUCUUGUCUUCCCUUUGUCCCAAGUAUUCCCAAGGAAGAUGGUCCCCCUGGGUGUUCUCCAGGACCAAGUCCCCAGAAUUCUCUUGUUUUUUCCUUGGUGAUCCAGGAAAACGAAGCCCCCUCCUGUAUUGACAGCUGGGAAUUGUGGAGUCCACCGUCCUCCACCUGAGACGAGCACAGGGUCUCCACGAGGACAGAGGCUGCUUUGGACUCAAUAGAAAACUGGGCAUCUUCAUGGUCCUAGAAGGAUCCCAGGAGGCUGAUCCUAUAGAGACGUCUGGUUCCUGACCCCAACUGCCUCCAGGUGCCUGGAACAGCCCAUCGUGGGCCCUUUACCCUCAGCAGGUGGACGCCGUUGGUCCUGCCAGGGCAAGUGUGUGUCUGUCUUAGGGCAUUUGGGAACAAUGGGCCUCUCUGUCCAGGUCCCCCUGUGUUCAAGUCCUCAGGAAGGAGCCUACUCCUGGUCCAGGGCAGGGACUCUAGAGACUAGGGCAUGGGUGGGAAUACUGGAUUUAACCCUUUGUCUUGGGGAGCAAUCGUGGAAUGGGGCUCACCUGUCUGGCCAGCAUUUGGGGGUCUGGUGGGAGCCGUUCGGGUGUUCUCUGGAGCUCUCGGGUGCUGCAGAGCCUUUGGAUGACUUUGUCUUGCAGGAUGGAGAUGGAUGAGCACCCGGAUAUCCUGCCCACCCAGGGGCAAGGCAACAUCAUCAUUACUAAGUAUGAGCAGGGACGCUGAGCUGGGGCAGCAGUGGACACAGAGCAUGAGCGUGUUGACAUCUGGAAAUUCACCAGUCGUCUCUGGGUUGUGUGUGAGACAGAGCUGCCCGUGUCAGUGCCCUGGAGGUGAAGGGAAGAGCCUGUGCCUGCUGCGUGGGAGACUGGUCCAGGGACAGGGAAUCAGGAGUGGUUGGGCCCCAAAGCC